rnacentral:rRNA from 1 species
AUUGAACGCUGGCGGCAUGCCUUACACAUGCAAGUCGAACGGCAGCACAGUAACUGGCUGCUGGUACCGGGGGGCGGACGGGUGAGUAAUACAUCUGCACAUGUCCCUACUUUGUGGUUGGGGCGGCGGAAGCGGGAUUAAUACUGCUAACGAACUACGGCUAAGAGCGAAAGAACUGCAGCCUUCGCGCUUUCGGGUUGGCCGAUGGCGGAUUAGCUAGUUGGUGGGGUAAAGGCCUACCAAGGCGACGAUCAGUAGCUGGUCUGAGAGGACGAUCAGCCACACUGGAACUGAGACACGGCCCAGACUCCUACGGGAGGCAGCAGUGGGGAAUUUUGGACAAUGGGCGCAAGCCUGAUCCAGCAAUGCCGCGUGUGUGAAGAAGGCCUUCGGGUUGUAAAGCCCUUUUGUCGGGAAAGAAAUGCUUGGGUCUAAUACCCCCGUGGUCUGACGGUACCGGAAGAAUAAGCACCGGCUAACUACGUG